CAGUGCCACGGUCGCCUGAACUAACGUUGGCCUGGCAUUAAGCACAGAUAAAAAGGCGCAGGCGACUGCGCUUUUUUU
rnacentral:sRNA from 1 species